rnacentral:rRNA from 1 species
AUUGAACGCUGGCGGCAGGCCUAACACAUGCAAGUCGAGCGGAUGAGAAGAGCUUGCUCUUCGAUUCAGCGGCGGACGGGUGAGUAAUGCCUAGGAAUCUGCCUGGUAGUGGGGGACAACGUCUCGAAAGGGACGCUAAUACCGCAUACGUCCUACGGGAGAAAGCAGGGGACCUUCGGGCCUUGCGCUAUCAGAUGAGCCUAGGUCGGAUUAGCUUGUUGGUGAGGUAAUGGCUCACCAAGGCGACGAUCCGUAACUGGUCUGAGAGGAUGAUCAGUCACACUGGAACUGAGACACGGUCCAGACUCCUACGGGAGGCAGCAGUGGGGAAUAUUGGACAAUGGGCGAAAGCCUGAUCCAGCCAUGCCGCGUGUGUGAAGAAGGUCUUCGGAUUGUAAAGCACUUUAAGUUGGGAGGAAGGGCAGUCAGCGAGUACCUGGUUGUUUUGACGUUACCGACAGAAUAAGCACCGGCUAACUCUGUGCCAGCAGCCGCAGUAAAAC